rnacentral:rRNA from 1 species
GAGUGGGAAGAGCUCCGGGUAGAAGUGACAGACCUACCGAACCUGGUGAUAGCUGGUUACCUAAAAAAUGAAUAGAAGUUCAGCCUCGCACACCCUAAAUCAAUCAACAUAUUUUUAGAUAUAUGGAAAAAUACGAGAGUUAGUUGAAGGGGGUACAGCCCCUUUAACAAAGGAUACAACUUUNACAGGAGGAUAAAGAUCAUAGU